rnacentral:rRNA from 1 species
CUCUAUGGCCAUGCUACCCUGAACAAGUCCAAUCCCAUCUGAUCUCAGAAGCUAAGCAGGAUCGGGCCUGGUUAGUACUUGGACAGGAGACCACCUAGGAAGACCAGGUACUAUAGGAG